rnacentral:rRNA from 1 species
GACGAACGCUGGCGGCGUGCCUAAUACAUGCAAGUAGGACGCAGUUGCGAACGGGUGAGUAACGCGUAGGUAACUACCUAGUAGAGGGGGAUAACUAUUGGAAACGAUAGCUAAUACCGCAUACUAGUAGAUGGACCUGCGUUGUAUUAGCUAGUAGGUAGGGUAAUGGCCUACCUAGGCAACGAUACAUAGCCGAGCUGGGAGGGUGGUCGGCCACACUGGGACUGGGACAAGGCCCCGACUUCCACGGGAGGCAGCAGGAGGGGAACUUUGGCAAUGGGGGGAACGCUGGCCGAGCAACGCCGCGUGAGUGAAGAAGGUUUUCGGAUCGGAAAGCUCUGUUGUUAAGGAAGCGGUACUUAACCAGAAAGGGACGGCUAACUACGUGCCAGCAGCCGCGGUAAUAC